GGUUAGGGCUCAGGGGCAGAGCGCAUGUCUCACACAUGUGAGGUCCUGGGCUCGAUCCUCAGCACCA
rnacentral:tRNA from 1 species